AGGCCGCCCCUGUACCGUGUCCAAUCAACGUCACGUUCCUAGGAUCGCCGCCGAAGUUGCCGAUGUUCUCCUGCACCCAAUGGAGCGCCGCGAUUUGAUCCAUCAGACCGUAAUUCGCCGGCGAGCAGUUUGCGCAUCGGUGGGGAGGGGGGGAAAAAAAAGAGAGAGAGAAAAGCGUCGUUGGAACAAAGGGAGAAGUUUCGAAAUGGGAUGGGAUGGAGAGAAACAGAGCGAAGCAAUAAAGAGUUUAAUGAGUUUCGGUGUUCGAGUUAAACUUUCCUACCGGCUACCCAGUUAAGAAGCUUUAACUUGAAAAGCUCGGUCUUAUUGGACUACAAUGAUUGGAACCGAUUGGUGAAAAGAUG